rnacentral:rRNA from 1 species
CCUACGGGAGGCAGCAGUGAGGAAUAUUGGUCAAUGGACGAGAGUCUGAACCAGCCCAGUAGCGUGAAGGAUGACUGCCCUAUGGGUUGUAAACUUCUUUUAUAUGGGAAUAAAAUGUUCCACGUGUGGGAUUUUGUAUGUACCAUAUGAAUAAGGAUCGGCUAACUCCGUGCCAGCAGCCGCAGUAAUACGGAGGAUCCGAGCGUUAUCCGGAUUUAUUGGGUUUACAGGGAGCGUAGGUGGAUUGUUAAGUCAGUUGUGAAAGUUUGCGGCUCAACCGUAAAAUUGCAGUUGAAACUGGCAGUCUUGAGUACAGUAGAUGUGGGCGGAAUUCGUGGUGUAGCGGUGAAAUGCUUAGAUAUCACGAAGAACUCCGAUUGCGAAGGCAGUUCACUGGACUGUAACUGACACUGAGGCUCGAAAGUGUGGGUAUCAAACAGGAUUAGAUACCCCUGUAGUC